rnacentral:rRNA from 1 species
AGUGAACGCUGGCGGUAGGCCUAACACAUGCAAGUCGAACGGCAGCACAGUAAGAGCUUGCUCUUACGGGUGGCGAGUGGCGGACGGGUGAGGAAUACAUCGGAAUCUACUUUUUCGUGGGGGAUAACGUAGGGAAACUUACGCUAAUACCGCAUACGACCUACGGGUGAAAGCAGGGGAUCUUCGGACCUUGCGCGAUUGAAUGAGCCGAUGUCGGAUUAGCUAGUUGGCGGGGUAAAGGCCCACCAAGGCGACGAUCCGUAGCUGGUCUGAGAGGAUGAUCAGUCACACUGGAACUGAGACACGGUCCAGACCCCUACGGGAGGCAGCAGUGGGGAAUAUUGGACAAUGGGCGCAAGCCUGAUCCAGCCAUACCGCGUGGGUGAAGAAGGCCUUCGGGUUGUAAAGCCCUUUUGUUGGGAAAGAAAAGCAGCAGGUUAAUACCCCGCUGUUCUGACGGUACCCAAAGAAUAAGCACCGGCUAACUUCGUG